AGUGAACGCUGGCGGCGUGCCUAAUACAUGCAAGUCUUAGGCAGUGGCGCACGGGUGAGUAAUAUAUAGCUAAUCAGCCCCUUGCUGGAGGACAACCGUUAGAAAUGACUGCUAAUACUUCAUAGCAAGGGAUGAGACUAUAUUGUAUCCGCUAGUCGGUGGGGUAACGGCGUACCGAGGAUAUGACGCGUAACUGGUCUGCGAGGAUGAUCAGUGACAUUGGAACCGAGACACGGUCAAAGCUCCUACGGGAGGCAGCAGUAGGGAACAUUGCGCAAUGGGGGAAUCGCUGACGCAGCAGCGCCGCGUGGAGGAUGACUCUUUUCGGAGCGUAGACUCCUUUUGUUAGGGAAACGGUACCUAACUAAUAAGCCCCUGCUAACGCCGUGCCAGCAGCCGCGGUAAUAC
rnacentral:rRNA from 1 species